CUGUAUAGCCCACUAGCUUAC
rnacentral:miRNA from 10 species